rnacentral:rRNA from 1 species
CCUACGGGAGGCAGCAGUGGGGAAUAUUGGACAAUGGGCGAAAGCCUGAUCCAGCAAUGCCGCGUGAGUGAUGAAGGCCUUCGGGUCGUAAAGCUCUUUUACCAGGGAUGAUAAUGACAGUACCUGGAGAAUAAGCUCCGGCUAACUCCGUGCCAGCAGCCGCGGUAAUACGGAGGGAGCUAGCGUUGUUCGGAAUUACUGGGCGUAAAGAGUACGUAGGCGGUUAUUCAAGUCAGAGGUGAAAGCCCGGGGCUCAACCCCGGAACUGCCUUUGAAACUAGAUAACUAGAGUCUUGGAGAGGUUAGUGGAAUUCCGAGUGUAGAGGUGAAAUUCGUAGAUAUUCGGAAGAACACCAGUGGCGAAGGCGACUAACUGGACAAGUACUGACGCUGAGGUACGAAAGCGUGGGGAGCAAACAGGAUUAGAUACCCUGGUAGUCCACGCCGUAAACGAUGAUAACUAGUUGUUCGGUCACUUGGUGUACUGAGUAGACGCAGACUAACGACAUUAAGUUAAUUCCGUCCGUCGGGUAGGUACGGUCGCGAAGAAUUAAAACUAACAAAUAGAAGUUAGACGGCGUGAGACGUUGCCGAACGGACGACGAACCGAGGGGAGGUUAGGG